GGCCUUGUAACUCAGCUGGUAGAGCGUACGCUGUACAAAAGCGUGGGCGGUGUCCAUGCGUGGGUUCGAAUCCCACCGAGGCUA
rnacentral:tRNA from 1 species